rnacentral:rRNA from 1 species
AGAGCGAACGCUGGCGGCAGGCCUAACACAUGCAAGUCGAGCGCCCAGCAAUGGGAGCGGCAGACGGGAUAGUAACACGUGGGAACGUACCUUUCAGUUCGGAACAACCCAGGGAAACUUGGGCUAAUACCGAAUACGCCCGUAAGGGGAAAGAUUUAUCGCUGAAAGAUCGGCCCGCGUCUGAUUAGCUAGUUGGUGGGGUAAUGGCCCACCAAGGCGACGAUCAGUAGCUGGUCUGAGAGGAUGAUCAGCAUCACUGGGACUGAGACACGGCCCAGACUCCUACGGGAGGCAGCAGUGGGGAAUAUUGGACAAUGGGCGCAAGCCUGAUCCAGCCAUGCCGCGUGGAUGAUGAAGGCCCUAGGGUUGUAAAGUCCUUUCGGCGGGGAAGAUAAUGACGGUACCCGCAGAAGAAGCCCCGGCUAACUUCGUGCCAGCAGCCGC